UACGGGGGGGGUAAGCGUUGUUCGGAAUUACUGGGCGUAAAGGGCUCGUAGGCGGUCCGUCACGUCGGGAGUGAAAACUCGGGGCUCAACCCCGAGCCUGCUUUCGAUACGGGCGGACUAGAGGUAGGUAGGGGAGAACGGAAUUCCUGGUGUAGCGGUGGAAUGCGCAGAUAUCAGGAGGAACACCGGUGGCGAAGGCGGUUCUCUGGGCCUUACCUGACGCUGAGGAGCGAAAGCGUGGGGAGCGAACAGG
rnacentral:rRNA from 1 species